rnacentral:rRNA from 1 species
AUACGUAGGGUGCGAGCGUUAAUCGGAAUUACUGGGCGUAAAGCGUGCGCAGGCGGUUAUGUAAGACAGAUGUGAAAUCCCCGGGCUCAACCUGGGAACUGCAUUUGUGACUGCAUAGCUAGAGUACGGCAGAGGGGGAUGGAAUUCCGCGUGUAGCAGUGAAAUGCGUAGAUAUGCGGAGGAACACCGAUGGCGAAGGCAAUCCCCUGGGCCUGUACUGACGCUCAUGCACGAAAGCGGGGAGCAAACAGGAUUAGAUACCCCAGUAGUCC